UACGUAGGGUGCGAGCGUUGUCCGGAAUUAUUGGGCGUAAAGAGCUUGUAGGCGGUUUGUCGCGUCUGCUGUGAAAAUCCGGGGCUCAACCCCGGACUUGCAGUGGGUACGGGCAGACUAGAGUGCGGUAGGGGAGACUGGAAUUCCUGGUGUAGCGGUGAAAUGCGCAGAUAUCAGGAGGAACACCGGCGGCGAAGGCGGGUCUCUGGGCCGUAACUGACGCUGAGGAGCGAAAGCAUGGGGAGCGAACAGG
rnacentral:rRNA from 1 species